rnacentral:rRNA from 1 species
CUGGCGGCAUGCCUUACACAUGCAAGUCGAACGGCAGCACGGGAGCAAUCCUGGUGGCGAGUGGCGAACGGGUGAGUAAUAUAUCGGAACGUGCCCAGUCGUGGGGGAUAACGUAGCGAAAGCUACGCUAAUACCGCAUACGAUCUAUGGAUGAAAGCGGGGGAUCGCAAGACCUCGCGCGAUUGGAGCGGCCGAUAUCAGAUUAGGUAGUUGGUGAGGUAAAGGCCCACCAAGCCGACGAUCUGUAGCUGGUCUGAGAGGACGACCAGCCACACUGGGACUGAGACACGGCCCAGACUCCUACGGGAGGCAGCAGUGGGGAAUUUUGGACAAUGGGCGCAAGCCUGAUCCAGCAAUGCCGCGUGCAGGAUGAAGGCCUUCGGGUUGUAAACUGCUUUUGUACGGAACGAAACGGUGAGCUCUAAUACAGUUUGCUAAUGACGGUACCGUAAGAAUAAGCACCGGCUAACUACGUG